AUUGAACGCUGGCGGCAGGCCUAACACAUGCAAGUCGAGCGGAGCGGCGGACGGGUGCGUAAUGCCUAGGAAUCUGCCUGGUAGUGGGGGAUAACGUCCGGAAACGGGCGCUAAUACCGCAUACUAUCAGAUGAGCCUAGGUCGGAUUAGCUAGUUGGUGGGGUAAAGGCCUACCAAGGCGGCGAUCCGUAACUGGUCUGCGAGGAGGAUCAGUCACACUUGAACGGAGAAAGGGGCCAUACGCCUACGGGAGGAAGCAGUGGGGAAUAUUGGACAAUGGGCGAAAGCCGGAGCCAGCCAGGCCGCGUGGGGGAAGAAGGUCUUCGGAUUGUAAAGCACUUUAAGUUGGGAGGCGUUACCAACAGAAUAAGCACCGGCUAACUUCGUGCCAGCAGCCGCGGUAAUAC
rnacentral:rRNA from 1 species